CCCGGCAUCGCCCCUCGGCUCCCACGCUGCCCUUCUGCUGCGUGGGCAGCUUGGCUGAAACCCCUCACUUCUUGGCCCAAAGCGUUGCUUGUCAGCUCAGGUGGGAUCUUCACAGCCCACACGCCCGCGGCUCUGAGGGCGACAAGGAAAUGAGGACCGCGAUAAGCCCCCAAGCCCUGCAAGUGCCAUGCACGGUGGCACUUGCCUAACGAUGCCUGAUGGAAGAUACUGCCGCAAACCAUGUAAACCGAGGGGCCAAAUCCACAGAUGAAAAUUCACACCUGCUGCCUGGCUUGCACGAAUGACUCUCCAAAUCGCAGAGCCUUGGUGUUGCGCUUUCCAGGCUGCCGGAGAGCGGCUGGGAAGCACUGCUGGCGGGACGGGAGGCUCCUAGGAGUCUGCUCACUUGACCUCAGUCCCAGGAUUCCUGUAGUUUCUUGUAAACGUGCCACAGCAUGCUGAAAAUUAUAGACCUGAGUGAGUUAACAUUGCGCACAUGAUAAAUGCUUGAAAUGCUGAGCAGCUAAUUCAAACAAGCGUAAAGUUGUGGAUGCAAUGAUUAACAAGGAAAGUAUCUUAGGCCGACAUAGCAGAGUUGCAUGGAUGCAUUUCAAUUUGAUAUAGAAACACCCCACCCCAUUUUUAAUAGUUGAUGACAGCUUAUCAGACACAACAUCAGAGACUUCAGAGUGCUCCUGGGACACCGCAGCUCAGGGGGCUUGAAGAAAUGAGGCAAAGGAGAUGAAAGCUGAUUUUGGAGAAGAAAAAAAUUACGUAUUUAGGUACACACACAUAGGCAAAGGUUGGCAUACAUGUCAAGAGAACAUUCUCCAGCUGGGGCCUGCAGUAUAGAGAAUUGUAUACUCCAGAGGGCUCAUGGGACCUUAGGCAGAUUAUUAUGGUAAUAUUGGAGACUGCUGUCCUUUCCCUCCCACAGCUGGGCCGCCUCUCUCAUUCAUUAGAGAAGCCACCCUUUGUAAAGAGGAAAGAGCCCCCAAAUAACAAUGAGUUGGUUCCAUGUGUCACCAUGAAGCCACACAUUUGCUACUCCUGAGCUGAUGUGAAGAUGUGUAUUUCACAUUUGAUGCAAGAUUGCACUCAGCAGAAUGAGGUGAAAAG